rnacentral:rRNA from 1 species
UACGUAGGGCGCAAGCGUUGUCCGGAAUUAUUGGGCGUAAAGAGCUCGUAGGCGGCUUGUCACGUCGGAUGUGAAAGCCCGGGGCUUAACUCCGGGUCUGCAUUCGAUACGGGCUGGCUAGAGUGUGGUAGGGGAGAUCGGAAUUCCUGGUGUAGCGGUGAAAUGCGCAGAUAUCAGGAGGAAUACCGGUGGCGAAGGCGGAUCUCUGGGCCUUACCUGACGCUGAGGCGCGAAAGCUAGGGGAGCGAACAGG